rnacentral:rRNA from 1 species
AGACUUAACCCCUUAAUAGCACGGUCCGCAUUUGCGGUCCCCGGUUCUUAGAGGGACUAUCAGCGUCAUAACCGAUGGGAAUUUGAGGCAAUAACAGGUCUGUGAUGCCCUUAGAUGUUUUGGGCCGCACGCGCGCUACACUGACAGGGCCAGCGAGUUCAUUUCCUUGGCCGGAAGGUCCGGGUAAUCUUGUGAAACUCUGUCGUGCUGGGGAUAGAGCAUUGCAAUUAUUGCUCUUCAACGAGGAAUUCCUAGUAGAGCGCUGAAGUCAUCCAGC